CACGUUUCUGUCUUCAUAACUAAUUCCCGCAGCUCCGAGAGGGAGGGGGGUCUGCAUCCAUCAACCAGAGGGUCUUUGUCCCGUGUAUAGCUGAUUUUUCCCCAACAAGUUGGUAUUAGAAGUGGGAUUCAAUUAGAGACGGAAAAAAAAGGUAAGAGAAUCGUGUAUUUCUGACAUUCAUUCUUUUCCUUUUUUUCUCCCAUUCUCCACAAAUUGCAUUCUUUAUUUAAAGUGGAUUUUUACUGCAUAGUCUAAGGUAAACUUCAUAGUUGUUGUCUUUGGGAGACAGUCCCUCCUUUGGUAGGAGGUUAGCCUUUGGAAGGCUAUAAAAAAAGUAAUCAAGCCUUUGGGAGGCUAAAAUGUAAUAUUGCCUUUGGUAGGCUAAAAGGUUAAAAAAGUUAAAAGGGAAUUAUUUUAACCCUGUACUUGAUGGAUAGCUGAUUUUUCCUCAACAGUGGUAGUUUUUCUUCUUUUAAAUAUAGUCUCCUCCUUUACUGGGUUGAUUCCCUUUAUGUAUUUAAAUGUUUAUAUCAUAUCCCCCCUGUCUUGUCUUUCCUCCAAGCUAUACAUGUUAAGAUCCUUUAACCUUUCCUUGUAAGUUUCAUCCUGUAAUCCAUCAACCAGUUUAGUAGCCCUUCUCUGAACUCUUACCAAAGUAUCAAUAUCCUUCUGGAGAUACGGUCUCCAGCACAUCGUACAAUACUCCAAGUGAGGUCUCACCAGUGUUCUGUACAAUGGCAUGAGCACUUCCCUCUCUCUCCUGCUAAUACCUCUCCCUAGACAACCAAGCAUUCUGCUAGCAUUUCCUGCUGCUCUAUUACAUUGUCUGCCUACCUUUAAGUCAUCAGAAAUAAUCACCCCUAAAUCCCUUUCCUCAGAUAUUGAAGUUAGGACUCUAUCAAAUAUUCUGUACUCUGCUCUUGUGUUUUUACAUCCAAUAUGCAUUAUCUUGCACUUAUGCACAUUAAAUGUCAACUGCCACAGCUCUGACCAUUUUUCUAGUUUAUCUUAAUCAUUUACCAUUUGUCUUUUACCUCCAGACGUUCGAUGACCAUAUUCCGCUGCCUGUGUUCAGGAGACAAAAUGCAGCAAUGCACUGGACCACGUGCGUUCUGUUAUACGAAUGGUGGCCACUUAGGGAAAGCACUUAAGCUAAUGUGUCAAGUUGUUAAUUUGUGGUUAACAGCCAGGGGAGGUCGGUGUUCUAAGGCAUAACAAGGGGGACCACAAACCAGUCAUUCAGGAGAUGAACAAGGGGGUACGGACAAAAGAACACAAGGUAAUGGAUUCGGCUACAUGGGUGUCCCUAGAAGUCAACUGAUUAGUGUCCACAGAAAUUGUACAGAUUUGGGUUAAUGCAAAAAGCAAGCAAAUAUAGCAAUGGAUAAGCUCAAAGAAAAGGGAUUCUCUGAGGAUCACCUGAAGAGAGCGUUUUAGAGAGUUUUAAAUAUGGAUGGUGGUGUUUUAUUGCAAGAUAAGGUAAAGAAGAAUUCAAAUAAAAAUAAUGUGGGAUUAUUCCAACACAGCUUCAAUACUCAAUUGAAUUGUAAAGCCAGUUAUAGAAAUAAAAUGUUAAAUAGGCACUGCCCUUACUAUUGGAAGAGGUCAGGUUUUUGAAGCACUUAAAUAACAUCAAGAAAAAUCUAGAAUGCCACUCUGUGCCGAACCAUUGCAAUAAAUGCCCUGCUUUUAGUUUUAAUAACCUUUCGUUAUUCGUCAUAGAACAGGUUACAUUGGACAACAGAGGUGGGGAUUUGAUGAUGAAGCGGAGGAGAAGGGAGCGCUUUUGAAAACAAACUACAGACAUUGCAAACUAAGGGUUUGAAUGAUGAUUUUGAUUUAGUUUGUUUUCUGUGAUUACUUUUUUUUUUCCUCCCUCCAAAGUGCAAUCAUCAGGAAUCUGGUACAGCUGCCCCUCCUAACCCAGGAUUGACAUAAAGUGACCUGGGAGGAGGUGUUUUGAGCUACUUAUAGUUGACUGUGGAUUAUUUUGGAUUAUUUUUUGCUGCAGUGACUAAAGAACCUUUUGCCCUGGAUGAAGUCUUGUUCUCCAGACACGUAGGACUGUUUGUAGUCAUUGAUUUAUUUUAUUGUAUACCAGAGGACUCUAUUUUUCCCUAGCACUAGAUCUACGAAGGUGGAUUACCUCAUUCUUCGUCAGCACUUUAUUAAUGGAAUUGGUCUCCUACACGUCAUGGUUAAUAUUGAUGGGCUUGACAAUUUUUGUCCUCUUAUAAGUGUUUUUAACCAUUAAAUUGUGUGUUAUUUUUGAUGUAUUGC
rnacentral:lncRNA from 1 species